GUAGUUGUGGCCGAAUGGUUAAGGCGAUGGGCUAGAAAUCCAUUGAGGUCUCCCUGCGCAGGUUCAAAUCCUGUCAACUACG